rnacentral:rRNA from 1 species
UGGGGAAUAUUGGACAAUGGGGGCAACCCUGAUCCAGCAAUGCCGCGUGGGUGAUGAAGGCCUUCGGGUUGUAAAGCCCUUUCGGCGGGGACGAUGAUGACGGUACCCGCAGAAGAAGCCCCGGCUAACUUCGUGCCAGCAGCCGCGGUAAUACGAAGGGGGCUAGCGUUGUUCGGAAUUACUGGGCGUAAAGGGCGCGUAGGCGGUUGUCCAAGUCAGAUGUGAAAGCCCAGGGCUCAACCCUGGAGGUGCAUUUGAGACUGGGCGGCUUGGGUUCGGGAGAGGAUGGUGGAAUUCCCAGUGUAGAGGUGAAAUUCGUAGAUAUUGGGAAGAACACCGGUGGCGAAGGCGGCCAUCUGGACCGAUACCGACGCUGAGGCGCGAAAGCGUGGGGAGCAAACAGG